rnacentral:rRNA from 1 species
ACUGGGAUAACUACCGGAAACGGUAGCUAAGACCGGAUACGACCAUUUGGGGGCAUCCUUGAAUGGUGAAAAGCGGAGCAAUCUGCUACUGGUAGAUGGACCUGCGGCGCAUUAGCUAGUUGGUGAGGUAGAGGCUCACCAAGGCGACGAUGCGUAGCCGACCUGAGAGGGUGAACGGCCACACUGGGACUGAGACACGGCCCAGACUCCUACGGGAGGCAGCAGUAGGGAAUCUUCGGCAAUGGACGAAAGUCUGACCGAGCAACGCCGCGUGAGUGAUGAAGGUUUUCGGAUCGUAAAACUCUGUUGCCAGGGAAGAAU